GGUUGGCGGAAGGUUCUGGCCAAGGGGGUUGGGGGGAAGGCGGAGGCCCCGGGCUGCCCGAAAAACACCAUCCGCUGCCCAGCAAGGCCUCCGCACGUGCCAGGAGGCUCCGCCUUGUCCCGGAGCCUGGCUCCGGCUGCCUGCCUUCCCCGACCCGGGAGAGAAGAGAGGGAGGCCGGCCCCGGGCGUGAGCGGGGGUGGGGGGUUCCCCGCCCUUCAGGCUGGGGCGGUGAGUUUCCGCCUGUCGUCGUCCAGCCCUUUCCAAAACACUGGUGCUUCCUUUAUGCUGGCCGGGGGGAUCUGAGGUGGUGAAGAAAGAUUGCCUACUUAAAGCUCCUACGUGGUGGGGGAAGACGAGCAGAAACGGACAUACACAGUGGGAUGUAGCUACUCCCUGACGGAGAUGUUCCCACUAUCCGGGGAAGCUCAGAAGCAGCGCGGGGGUUGUGAUCCAGAAGGCGAGAGAAUAACUCUUAGAAGUGCAGAAGAUGGAGGGGAAAAUUGAGACCAGACUUUUUUUUUUUCUCUAGCCCCUGUACUUCAUUCAGUUUGAUCCUGUGGAAUCAGGACCUUGGGCAUCUCCUAGGACAGCAAGUGGAACAGUGAUUAUAAAAAGUGACCAAACUCUGGCGGGGAUUUGAUAAUGGGACAGCUGUGCGUGUGUGAGGGCAGGGAGUGGGUGGGAACUCUACCUUCCAGUGUAAACCUAAACUGGCUCCAAAAAAGAAAGUCUGUUAUUUAACAACAACAACAAAAAGUCUUGGAAAUGACUUGAAAUGCAGCUUG